UUAGUCGAAUAAAAUUCUGGUUAGAAUUAUGAUAAUGACAUUGUCUAGCCAUAUGUCUUGACCAAAUUACGUGCCAGCAGUCGCGGUAAUACGUAAAAGACUAGUGUUAUUCAUCUUUAAUUGGUUUAAAGGGUACCCAGACGGUAAAUCAAGACUGGUAAAGGCGAAAGCAUCCCCUUAUGUGAUAACUGACGUUGAAGGACGAAGGCUUUGGAUCGCAAAUAGGAUUAGAUACCCUAGUAGUCAAAGCAGAUAAUUAUGAGUGUCAUAGAUUAGAAAUUAAUUUUAUUCUAUAAAUGAAAGUGUAAGCACUCCACCUCAAGAGUAAUUUGGCAACAUUGGAACUGAAAUCAUUAGACCGUUUCUGAAACCAGUAGUGAAGUAUGUUGUUUAAUUUGAUAAUCCGCAAAAAACCUUACCACAGCUUGAAUAUUUAUAUUUUUGAUAUAUUUACAAGAGUUGCACGGCUGUCUUCAGUUAAUGUCGUGAGACUUUGGUUAGAUCCAUUAAAUUAACGCAAGCCCUUACUUUAUUUUAAAAUAAAGUAGUUCCCCACUAUAUCGGAUAUGAUAACAGGGACUAAGACAAGUCAUCAUGGCCUUAAUGCUGUGGGCUAUAGACGUGCCACAUAGACCUCUACAAAAGGAUGUGAAAUUGUGAAAUUGAACUAAUCCCAUCAAAACUGGAUACAAUUUUAAUGAAUUGCAGUCUGUAACUCGACUGCGUGAAAAGGAAAUUACUAGUAAUCGUGUAUAAGUACGGCACGGUGAAUUUUAUCUCAGAUGGGUACUAACUACUCGUCAGGCGCUGAAAGAAGUAUGUGCAAUAAGUUUGGCUAGUAUUUAUUUUUAAUCUAGACAAUUUGGUCUAGAAACUUAGAUAUGUCGUCUUCGUAUGCGUGACCUUGAUUGGUGUUAAGUCGAAAUAUGGUUCGUGUAGUGGAAAUUGCACGGGAAUUAUUA
rnacentral:rRNA from 1 species